rnacentral:rRNA from 1 species
UGGGGAAUUUUGGACAAUGGGCGAAAGCCUGAUCCAGCAAUGCCGCGUGUGUGAAGAAGGCCUUCGGGUUGUAAAGCACUUUUGUCCGGAAAGAAAUCCUUGGCUCUAAUACAGUCGGGGGAUGACGGUACCGGAAGAAUAAGCACCGGCUAACUACGUGCCAGCAGCCGCGGUAAUACGUAGGGUGCAAGCGUUAAUCGGAAUUACUGGGCGUAAAGCGUGCGCAGGCGGUUUGCUAAGACCGAUGUGAAAUCCCCGGGCUCAACCUGGGAACUGCAUUGGUGACUGGCAGGCUAGAGUAUGGCAGAGGGGGGUAGAAUUCCACGUGUAGCAGUGAAAUGCGUAGAGAUGUGGAGGAAUACCGAUGGCGAAGGCAGCCCCCUGGGCCAAUACUGACGCUCAUGCACGAAAGCGUGGGGAGCAAACAGGAUUAGAUACCCUGGUAGUCCACGCCCUAAACGAUGUCAACUAGUUGUUGGGGAUUCAUUUCCUUAGUAACGUAGCUAACGCGUGAAGUUGACCGCCUGGGGAGUACGUCGCAAGAUUAAAACUCAAA